rnacentral:rRNA from 1 species
AUUGAACGCUGGCGGGUGGCCUAACACAUGCAAGUCGAGUGGAGCUGCGGACGGGUGAGUAAUGCAUCGGAAUCUGCCUGGUAGCGGGGGAUAACUUCCGGAAACCGUCGCUAAUACCGCAUACUCUUGGCUCGGCCUAGCUCGUCUUAGCUAGUUUGUGUGGUAACGGCCCACCAAGGCGACGAUCCGUAGCUGGUCUGAGAGGAUGACCAGACACUAUGGGACUGAGAGACGGUCCAGACUGCUAAGGGCAGCAGCAGUGGGGAAAUGGAGACAAUGGACGAGAACUUGGACCAGCCAUCCCGCGUGUUGGAUGAAGUCCUUCGGAUUGUGAAGCGCGUUAGGAUGGAAGGAGGUACCAGUAGAAGAAGCACAGGAUAACUUCAGGACAGCAGCCGCGGUAAUAC